rnacentral:rRNA from 1 species
UACGUAGGGGGCAAGCGUUGUCCGGAAUCAUUGGGCGUAAAGCGCGUGUAGGCGGCUCGAUAAGUCUGCUGUGAAAGUCCAGGGCUCAACCCUGGGAUGCCGGUGGAUACUGUCGAGCUCGAGUCCGGAAGAGGCGAGUGGAAUUCCUGGUGUAGCGGUGAAAUGCGCAGAUAUCAGGAGGAACACCAAUGGCGAAGACAGCUCGCUGGGACGUGACUGACGCUGCGACGCGAAAGCGUGGGGAGCAAACAGG